AGAUGAUUGGAGAGGAGAAGAUCUUUGGUUGAAAAGAAGUAAAAAGCUGCAGGGUGAAUGACGUCUUCUGCAUGUGCCACAGAGGCAGCAGAGCUCUAUACAGGGACCAGGGUGGAAGGAGGAGUGAGUACGUAGUCAUUGACCUACAGGGACGUGAAACACAUCUCUGGAAUCUCAUGCUGACUGUCUAAUCUUUUUGUCUAGGCUCUGCUGUUUAUUUUGAACAGAAGAGCAAUAGAAGAACUGAGGUUUCCAGAGGAGGGCUUUACCAUGCCACGCAUCUCUCCAGAAACCUAAAGAAGAUGACAUCCAGCAAACCAUGGUCUGCGCAUGGAGCAAGACUUCUUUGGUGUGCAUGAAAAGGCUACUUCAAGGCCAAGGAGCUGCAGAGCACAGAAGAGGCUGUGUGCAGUGGCUCACCCAGGGGCACGCGAGCGAUGCCGUUGUUCCUCCUGCAGCCUAGAACAGCACAGAAAUACCAACGUUGUCCCUCUUUCUCACUGUAAGGAAAUAGGUUGUGGCUCCUUCUUCCUUCCUACACCCACAAGUAUAGUCCAGGCAAGCAGUGGGGAGGCUGCAGAGAGGUCCGUCCCUUUUUCCAGGGCAUGGAAGAGCAGAUGAUUUUGCCUGCAGUGCUCAUAAAAAAAAAAAAAUUGAUUUCUUUCAUCUCUUUCCUGAGCAAAGGCCAGUGCUGAGCCUAGCAGAUUAUUCAAUAAUGUCCCAUAAAAAUAUUAAACUUCUGUAUCGGAACCAAAUUAAAAUUGUAUUUCAUGAUGUGAACAAAGGUACCCAAGUUGACUUCGUCUCUCG
rnacentral:lncRNA from 1 species